CCAUCCUCCAAGGCUAAAUACUCCUGACUGACCGAUAGUGAACCAGUACCGUGAGGGAAAGGCGAAAAGAACCCCGGCGAGGGGAGUGAAAAAGAACCUGAAACCGUGUACGUACAAGCAGUGGGAGCACGCUUAGGCGUGUGACUGCGUACCUUUUGUAUAAUGGGUCAGCGACUUAUAUUCUGUAGCAAGGUUAACCGAAUAGGGGAGCCGAAGGGAAACCGAGUCUUAACUGGGCGUUAAGUUGCAGGGUAUAGACCCGAAACCCGGUGAUCUAGCCAUGGGCAGGUUGAAGGUUGGGUAACACUAACUGGAGGACCGAACCGACUAAUGUUGAAAAAUUAGCGGAUGACUUGUGGCUGGGGGUGAAAGGCCAAUCAAACCGGGAGAUAGCUGGUUCUCCCCGAAAGCUAUUUAGGUAGCGCCUCGUGAAUUCAUCUCCGGGGGUAGAGCACUGUUUCGGCAAGGGGGUCAUCCCGACUUACCAACCCGAUGCAAACUGCGAAUACCGGAGAAUGUUAUCACGGGAGACACACGGCGGGUGCUAACGUCCGUCGUGAAGAGGGAAACAACCCAGACCGCCAGCUAAGGUCCCAAAGUCAUGGUUAAGUGGGAAACGAUGUGGGAAGGCCCAGACAGCCAGGAUGUUGGCUUAGAAGCAGCCAUCAUUUAAAGAAAGCGUAAUAGCUCACUGGUCGAGUCGGCCUGCGCGGAAGAUGUAACGGGGCUAAACCAUGCACCGAAGCUGCGGCAGCGACGCUUAUGCGUUGUUGGGUAGGGGAGCGUUCUGUAAGCCUGCGAAGGUGUGCUGUGAGGCAUGCUGGAGGUAUCAGAAGUGCGAAUGCUGACAUAAGUAACGAUAAAGCGGGUGAAAAGCCCGCUCGCCGGAAGACCAAGGGUUCCUGUCCAACGUUAAUCGGGGCAGGGUGAGUCGACCCCUAAGGCGAGGCCGAAAGGCGUAGUCGAUGGGAAACAGGUUAAUAUUCCUGUACUUGGUGUUACUGCGAAGGGGGGACGGAGAAGGCUAUGUUGGCCGGGCGACGGUUGUCCCGGUUUAAGCGUGUAGGCUGGUUUUCCAGGCAAAUCCGGAAAAUCAAGGCUGAGGCGUGAUGACGAGGCACUACGGUGCUGAAGCAACAAAUGCCCUGCUUCCAGGAAAAGCCUCUAAGCAUCAGGUAACAUCAAAUCGUACCCCAAACCGACACAGGUGGUCAGGUAGAGAAUACCAAGGCGCUUGAGAGAACUCGGGUGAAGGAACUAGGCAAAAUGGUGCCGUAACUUCGGGAGAAGGCACGCUGAUAUGUAGGUGAAGUCCCUUGCGGAUGGAGCUGAAAUCAGUCGAAGAUACCAGCUGGCUGCAACUGUUUAUUAAAAACACAGCACUGUGCAAACACGAAAGUGGACGUAUACGGUGUGACGCCUGCCCGGUGCCGGAAGGUUAAUUGAUGGGGUCAGCGCAAGCGAAGCUCUUGAUCGAAGCCCCGGUAAACGGCGGCCGUAACUAUAACGGUCCUAAGGUAGCGAAAUUCCUUGUCGGGUAAGUUCCGACCUGCACGAAUGGCGUAAUGAUGGCCAGGCUGUCUCCACCCGAGACUCAGUGAAAUUGAACUCGCUGUGAAGAUGCAGUGUACCCGCGGCAAGACGGAAAGACCCCGUGAACCUUUACUAUAGCUUGACACUGAACAUUGAGCCUUGAUGUGUAGGAUAGGUGGGAGGCUUUGAAGUGUGGACGCCAGUCUGCAUGGAGCCGGCCUUGAAAUACCACCCUUUAAUGUUUGAUGUUCUAACGUGGACCCGUGAUCCGGGUUGCGGACAGUGUCUGGUGGGUAGUUUGACUGGGGCGGUCUCCUCCUAAAGAGUAACGGAGGAGCACGAAGGUUGGCUAAUCCUGGUCGGACAUCAGGAGGUUAGUGCAAUGGCAUAAGCCAGCUUGACUGCGAGCGUGACGGCGCGAGCAGGUGCGAAAGCAGGUCAUAGUGAUCCGGUGGUUCUGAAUGGAAGGGCCAUCGCUCAACGGAUAAAAGGUACUCCGGGGAUAACAGGCUGAUACCGCCCAAGAGUUCAUAUCGACGGCGGUGUUUGGCACCUCGAUGUCGGCUCAUCACAUCCUGGGGCUGAAGUAGGUCCCAAGGGUAUGGCUGUUCGCCAUUUAAAGUGGUACGCGAGCUGGGUUUAGAACGUCGUGAGACAGUUCGGUCCCUAUCUGCCGUGGGCGCUGGAGAACUGAGGGGGGCUGCUCCUAGUACGAGAGGACCGGAGUGGACGCAUCACUGGUGUUCGGGUUGUCAUGCCAAUGGCACUGCCCGGUAGCUAAAUGCGGAAGAGAUAAGUGCUGAAAGCAUCUAAGCACGAAACUUGCCCCGAGAUGAGUUCUCCCUGACCCUUUAAGGGUCCUGAAGGAACGUUGAAGACGACGACGUUGAUAGGCCGGGUGUGUAAGCGCAGCGAUGCGUUGAGCUAACCGGUACUAAUGAACCGUGAGGCUUAACCUUACAACGCCGAAG
rnacentral:rRNA from 1 species